UACCUCUGGAGGUGGAAUAUCAGGAUAACAACACCUACAGCUGUGUGCUCAACAAUCCCAUCAGCAACCAGACUCAACAUCUGGACAUCACUCAACUCUGUCACACAUCUGCAGCACUGGAUGGACACUUUACUUCAGAGCCAAUCUUUCUGAUAGUGUUGAUUUCUGCUGCUGGAUCUCUGUUGUUUGUAGCUACAGUCGGGAUCUUCUGCAUCUACAAGAGAAACAGAAAAUCGGAUCAAGAAGCUGUUGUUGUUGAUAAUGAAGCAGUUCAGACUUGUGAUGAAGAGAUCACUUACGCUGAUCCGACAUUCUUCAAACGAAAUAAACAGAAACCGACAGCUGCAGAGGAGAAUCAUAUGGAGUAUGUGCCUAUCUGCAUAAGAAGAUGAAACUUUAAUAACAAGUCACUUUUAUUUAGCAUAUGGAUUUUGAAUGUGAUCUUUAGAAGUUCUAGAAAACUUUUCUAGACAAGUUUUGGGAUGGUUGAGACUCCACACAGACACAUUGUCUAUCUGAACUUUACACAAAUUCUGACACAAAAAUCUAAUAAUUUACACACAUGGUAUGGUUCACAGCAUUCCCUCUGGGAGUGUUUGGAGUGUUGUGAUUUUAUUUCCUUAAAUAUACACAGAGAUGUGGUUUGAUCAGUUUCUUAAACAGUAUGUGCAUAAGAGUGCCUGUUACGAAACACUGGCUGAUGUGCAUUUGUGAGUGCACGUUAAAGGUGUGAAUAGCUUGUGGUUGAAAGGUCUUUUUCCAUUGCUGCUAAUGCGAAACUCACAGUUUCUGUGCAACCUUGUGAAUGUAAAAUGUGCUAAAUUUUAAGUUUUUUGUUGUUGUUGUUGUUUGUGAAACAUUAAGAGCAAUAUUAAAAGUAGCCUACAUAUAAUUGUUGUCCUCACUUGUGUAUACUUGGUUUUUGAACCUUUGGUUUUGUUUCCAAGGCAUAAACAGAGAAAAGCAAGCGUCUGUCUGUCACACUCGUGACUUUAUUAAACUAUUAUUUCACCAAAACCAGCCCAGUUCCGCGGGAAACCCGCUGACUCACUUCAGCAAGCUGGGAAGCGCAACAGCGUUCCUCCAGCUGCUGACUGUUUCACUUUCACUUUGCGGGGUAACGAUGAAUAUUUAAAAGUUACCCUCGUGAAGGGUGUGGCCUUAACAUGCAUACUGCUCUCAAGCACACUUUUACUCCACAUGGGUUUGGGAUUUUUUGAAGUCUACUGUUUGAGAGACUGGCAUCCUUUGAAGAGAAUAAUCUGUGUGCAAGCGCUAGGGGGCGCUCAAAGGGUUCGGGUGGAGUACGGGUAAAAUGGAUGGGUGUGGUAAGAAAUCAACAAUAAAUCAAAGUGCAUCAUGAUUAGCUUUUCCAUGAGCUGAAGAAAAAACAGAAGGUGCACACUGAGUGAAAUAGACACGAAACACCAUCAUGGUAACACACGACACUAAAAUAAUGCAGUAAACAUUCAACAACAUAAGUUGUAAAAUAAAACCCUUAUGUACAGCUGUUAAGGAAAAACAAACUGGGAAUUCUUGGAACAUCACUUUUAUGGAUUUUCACUGUAAAUUAUAAGAUGAUUUAUUCAUUUUACUUCUAAAUUG
rnacentral:lncRNA from 1 species